rnacentral:misc_RNA from 1 species
GAUGAAGAACGUAGCGAAAUGCGAUACUUGGUGUGAAUUGCAGAAUCCCGUGAACCAUCGAGUCUUUGAACGCAAGUUGCGCCUCAAGCCAUUAGGUUGAGGGCACGUCUGCCUGGGCGUCACAUAUCGUUGCCUGAUGCCAGUUUCCUCGUGAUGGGUGACUGUGCAGGGCGAAUGAUGGCUUCCCGUGAGCAUUGUUGCCUCAUGGUUGGUUGAAAAUUGAGUCCUUGGUAGGGAGCGCCGUGAUAGAUGGUGGUUGAGUGACGAACGAGACCCAAUCAUGUGAGACCCCUACCGAAUUUGGCCUUCAUGACCCACAUGCGUCUUUGGAACGCUCAUGACGAGACCUCAGGUCAGGCGGGGCUACCCGCUGAGUUUAAGCAUACAAUAAGCGGAGGA